rnacentral:rRNA from 1 species
GACGAACGCUGGCGGCGUGCCUAACACAUGCAAGUCGAGCGGAGGUACAAUGAGAGCAAUCGAGAUGUACUUUAGCGGCGGACGGGUGAGUAACGCGUGAGCAACCUGCCUAUCACAGGGGGAUAAGGCGGCGAAAGCCGCUCUAAUACCGCAUGAGACCCUCAAAGCGAUGCAAUGGGGGUGAAAGGAGCGAUCCGGUGAGAGAUGGGCUCGCGUCCGAUUAGGUAGUUGGUAGGGUAAGGGCCUACCAAGCCAAUGAUCGAUAGCCGGCCUGAGAGGGUGAACGGCCACAUUGGAACUGAGAGACGGUCCAAACUCCUACGGGAGGCAGCAGUGGGGAAUAUUGGGCAAUGGGCGGAAGCCUGACCCAGCAAUGCCGCGUGAGGGAAGAAGGUUUUCGGAUUGUAAACCUCUGUUCUUGGGGAAGAGGAGGAGACGGUACCCAAAGGAGGAAGCCCCGGCUAACUACGUG